UGGGGAAUUUUGGACAAUUGGGCGAAAGCCUGAUCCAGCAAUGCCGCGUGUGUGAAGAAGGCCUUCGGGUUGUAAAGCACUUUUGUCCGGAAAGAAAUCCUUGGCUCUAAUACAGUCGGGGGAUGACGGUACCGGAAGAAUAAGCACCGGCUAACUACGUGCCAGCAGCCGCGGUAAUACGUAGGGUGCAAGCGUUAAUCGGAAUUACUGGGCGUAAAGCGUGCGCAGGCGGUUUGCUAAGACCGAUGUGAAAUCCCCGGGCUCAACCUGGGAACUGCAUUGGUGACUGGCAGGCUAGAGUAUGGCAGAGGGGGGUAGAAUUCCACGUGUAGCAGUGAAAUGCGUAGAGAUGUGGAGGAAUACCGAUGGCGAAGGCAGCCCCCUGGGCCAAUACUGACGCUCAUGCACGAAAGCGUGGGGAGCAAACAGGAUUAGAUACCCUGGUAGUCCACGCCCUAAACGAUGUCAACUAGUUGUUGGGGAUUCAUUUCCUUAGUAACGUAGCUAACGCGUGAAGUUGACCGCCUGGGGAGUACGGUCGCAAGA
rnacentral:rRNA from 1 species